UACGUAGGGUGCGAGCGUUAAUCGGAAUUACUGGGCGUAAAGCGUGCGCAGGCGGUUUCGCAAGUCAGAUGUGAAAGCCCCGGGCUCAACCUGGGAAUUGCGGUUGAAACUGGCGAACUAGAAUCUGGCAGAGGGGGGUGGAAUUCCACGUGUAGCAGUGAAAUGCGUAGAGAUGUGGAGGAACACCGAUGGCGAAGGCAGCCCCCUGGGCUGAGAUUGACGCUCAGGCACGAAAGCGUGGGGAGCAAACAGG
rnacentral:rRNA from 1 species